rnacentral:RNase_P_RNA from 1 species
AGUAAGCCGAACAGUCGCGCUUGUUAUGCAAGUGAGGAAAGUCCGGGCUUCAUAGGGCAGGGUGCCGGUUAACGGCCGGCGGAGGCGACUCCAGGGACAGUGCAACAGAAAUAAACCGCCCGCUUUGCGGGUAAGGGUGGAAAGGCAAGGUAAGAGCUUACCGCCGUCCUGGCGACAGGACGGGCUCUGUAAACCCCACCUGAAGCAAGGCCCGAGUAAAACAAUGGGAUAGCCCGUCCCGUUUUGACGCGGCCGCAUGAUGACGCCGGCAACGGCGUACCAAGAUAGAUGACUGUUUAAGACAGAACCCGGCUUAUAGACUUGCUCA